UGGGGAAUAUUGGACAAUGGGCGAAAGCCUGAUCCAGCCAUGCCGCGUGUGUGACGAAGGCCUUAGGGUUGUAAAACUCUUUCGUCGGGGACGAUAAUGACGGUACCCGAAGAAGAAGCUCCGGCUAACUUCGUGCCAGCAGCCGCGGUAAUACGAAGGGAGCUAGCGUUGUUCGGAAUCACUGGGCGUAAAGCGCACGUAGGCGGAUAGUUAAGUCAGGGGUGAAAUCCUGGGGCUCAACCCCAGAACUGCCUUUGAUACUGGCUGUCUCGAGGUCGAGAGAGGUUGGUGGAAUUCCUAGUGUAGCGGUGAAAUGCGCAGAUAUUAGGAAGAACACCAGUGGCGAAGGCGGCUCACUGGAUCGGUACUGACGCUGAGGUGCGAAAGCGUGGGGAGCAAACAGGAUUAGAUACCCUUGUAGUCCCUGAGCGGGCUGGCAAGGCGCAU
rnacentral:rRNA from 1 species